rnacentral:rRNA from 1 species
ACUCCUACGGGAGGCAGCAGUGGGGAAUUUUCCGCAAUGGGCGAAAGCCUGACGGAGCAAUGCCGCGUGGAGGUGGAAGGCCUACGGGUCGUCAACUUCUUUUCUCGGAGAAGAAACAAUGACGGU